GAUCUCGCUGAGGCUGUAUGGUUCUUGUGGGAAUGGACUGCAGCAGUGCUAGAGCCAGGGCUGCCCCUUGUUAUUUGCCCCUGUAAUUUAGUGUAUGUUCACCCACAGAUUAUAUCAUCUGCAAGGUGGAGAGGAAUUUGUUUUUCUCACCCAGCUGCCGUUAAAUUCCUAAGAAUUAAAAACUUGUUCUUUAGUGAGACCUUGACAUGAGCACUGAUAUCUCCUGGAUGUUUAUUAGCCAAGGCCACAGGGGUCCCUCCUGUGUCCUUCAGCUGAGACAGCUCUCUGGUAGUUAUUGCUUCUGCUAGGAGAACUGAGGAGAUAAACAGGCUGUAACAGUCAGCUUCCCUCACAGAGGUUCUUUCCCUGUGAGAAAGUCACUUUGAGACCUAUUCUGCGUCCCCUCCCCAACAGUGCCUCUGAACUCUCUUUCAUUUCAAAGGUUAAGCAAACAGGCAGAUUAUUUUCUCCUCUACAUGCAUGCUUCCAAGGUUGAAGGACUCGUUUGUACUCGAGUUGCGGAGAACACUUAAUGAUUUUGUUUCACUAAGGCAAAAUGAGAAAGGAAAACGAUAUUUAGGCAAUUUCAUUAGAAAAACAUUUGCUUCUUUGUUUCUGUAACAGAAAGAUUACUGGGUAAUCUCUGCUGUAACUGAUUGGGGAUAGCUGGUUGCAUCAGGUAUGCUGAUGGAGCUAAUAUUGAUGGGCCGAGCAUGCAAAGCAUACGCAUUCCCCUCCGGAAGGCUUGUAAGAUGCCUCAGACCAGGAACUUGCAAAACAGCUGCCCCAUAACGGUAUCCCAAGGUACAAAACAAAAACUAGGCAGGAGGCAGGACAGCUCAGAGCAGUAGCAGAGAGUCAGGGGCAACUGAACUUGCUAGAGCACCAAGGCAGCCCUGCCAGCUGCUGAAGGCUGGGGAGGUCCGAGGAGAGGAGGCAGCUCAGGCAGUUAAUCGCUGCUCGGUGUGGAAGCUGUGGCAUCGAGUGAUGCAGUGAUGACUUCGACCAUUUGGGAACUCACCCUUCAUUCAUGAGGGUUGGCAUCCCGGAUCCCCCCUACCGACACCCCUGCCAGCAGAAAGGACAGGAUAUCUGCAGGUAGCGGAGAAAUCUGCAUGAAUCUGAGCUGUCUUACUGAACUUCAAUAUCUGGGUUUCUGAACUCGAUGCUGUGUGCUACUGUCACAGAGUGCAGAGACUUGUGCAUCUAUAAAACCAGUUACCAUAACCCAGUUAAGUGGUGGGUAUGAUGUGGUGUGAGUCCUUAAAAACUGCUGUGCUCAUUCCUCACCUGGAGUGCAACCUUUAGGAUUAAAGUUUGUUUGAGGUCAGAAGUCCUGUCUCCACAUCAUGUAACUCUACUGCUACAGCUGAAGUAGGAUUGAUGCUUCCGCAGCUGCUCAUUCUUCAGCAGAAGCAGAUGGCACCAGCUGGAGACUCUUACAAUUCACCUUUGCAAAGCUUCUGUAGACUUUCCAAGAUUUAGUAGAGAUUGUGCCUGUCCUUGGAAAGAAGGGAGCAACUAGCUCACGUAGAAACCCAAAAGACACGGAAAUCGUGGCUCUCAGUAGAGGGAUUUUGUUGGUAAAACGUAGUUCGCUUCCAGAAACUUAAUUGCAUUGUUGUCUGAAUAUGAACUGCUUCGUCAUGGGCUUGGAUUAUAUGUCACAAAUAAGGAAAUUGUAAAGCUAAAAAACACCCGGAAUUUUCAAGUGCUGAUGAGACGCCCUCUAUAGGGCUCGGUAGAAGUUGUAAAAGCUGUUCUCUAAGUCUAAAGGACUUGAAAACAGCUGAAAAAAUAAAUUUAUGCUGGAGAAGCUUGUUCCUCUCACCACAUGUUUUCUCUGCUGUUCCUGUUGAGACUUUCUGCUGCAGUGAUCCUCCUUACAGGGAGGAUUCCCAGAGGGCCUGAAACCUUUCCAAUCUUAUUGCUUAUACACUUUCUUUUCUUGACAGAACAAUAUGAAAUAGUUGACCUUGCCCAGAGCAAUAUAUCAUUAAAGCUAAACAAGAUGACACUUUUGUACUGUGUCUUGGUCUGGAGCUGUCUAAAGCACUUUCUGAAUUCUGUGGAACAGGAAGAAAAACUUUCAGGCAAUUGAAAUGCAUGUGAUGCUAACCAAAUCAUGUUUCUUGUUUUAACAUAAAUUUAUGGGUAUAUUAGUACACUUGUUUGAAAUGAAGAAAUUGAGUGGUUUACAGCUCAGAAGCUCAUCUUGAAAUAUUUAUGUAUCAUACAGUAUAUUGAAUUAAUACUUGGACUGGAUAUUUUGAAGAACCUCUGUUUGAGAAUCUACUGACGCGCUUUUGGUUAACAUCUGUGCUUUUCUGGUGACCAGUGGAGGUCUGUCAGGAUGUUUUAUCCCUCAUGUUGGAUAUCAUGUUGGAGAAUAGAGGGAGCCCCACUGGCAUUAGCUACUGUCAACAGCAUUUCAGUCAACGAGGGGCCAGGGAGGGCUAACAGAGGCCAGAGGGGAAGGGGGGGUACACAGCAGUUCUCUGGAUUGAACACAAGAAGACAAGAAUUAAUUUUUGACAGACAAUAAAUCUAGUCUUCCUUUUUUUCCUUUACUUGGGAAGGAAUCCGGCACAUUGUAGGUCCCGUUCAUGCAGUCUUUCUGUCCACUUGCUUAAUUGGGCAAAUAUUUUAAUGUCAUAGUUCUCUUCACCUCCUUCUCCCCGGCACCCCUCAGUCAAUGCUUCAGGGGCUUAUGCAAGCACUGCUUCUGUUACGAUGCUUGUGCCACCCAGGGACCGGUGGCCAGCCUCGGGCUGGCCAGGGUAUUGUAACUGUUGAGCUAAAGAGAAAGAUGCUGCAACCCAUUCAUGAAAACAUGCAGACAGCGUGGGCAAUACCCUGCUCUGGGCAGAGUUCUUGUCUGCCCACUAGCUAGGUGGAGCUCCUUUACUUCAGUUCUCCUCUGUGCUUGCACAGGACGGAUAGCACUGAGCAGGGGGAAUCACAGAGUCAUAGAAUCAUCUAGGUUGGAAAGGACCUUUAAGAUCAUUGAGUCCAGCCAUAAACCUAGCACUGCCAAGUCCCACUAAACCAUGCUGCUAAGUGCCACAUCUACAUGUCUUUUAAGUACCUCCAGGGAUGGUGACCCAACCACUUCCCUCGGCAGCCCGUUCCAGCGCUUGGUAACCCUUUCAGUGAAGAAAUAACCGCAUAAACAGGAUCAUUCUCCUUUCUGCAUGAUCUUUCCCCGUGAUAUACUGGCUGUUGCGUAUUUUUCCCCAUACAUCAGAGCCUUACUAGGCUGGAGUGCCAUUCACAGCACACUUCCCGCCCUGGAGAUUGUAGUC